UUCCCCUUCCUAUCCUGCAGAGAGGUACCCGAGCCAGCACCUCCUAAGGGGCUUCAGCUCCUCCUUUAAAGAUCCCUAACAGGGUUUGCCAGAGAUCACUGGUUGAGGGCAGAAAGAUUUCAACUGAAUCCUCAUGCCAGGCCCUCCCUGAUCUCUCCGCAGUGCCCUCAGAUCCACACGGUGGCCUUGCCGUCUCUGCUGCCUGUACUGCCCUUCUCAGAGCCAACCCUGGGCUUAGUGGCGAGCUGUUCCUGAGCUCCCGACCUGCCCUGCUCUCCAACGGUACCCCCCGACGUGGCGCUACCGGUUCCGGAAGCUGGGCCGCCCGCCCUGGGUGGUCCCCGAGAGGUUGCAUUGAGCCCUGAACACGGCGGACUGUCGCGAUCCGCGGAAACCGCCGCCACCGCCGCCCCAUCACGCAGCGCCUGCAGUGCCAGGUUCGCCAGGUUCUGAUCGUGCGCUCGCGCGCGCUCAGCUGCACGCACUACCAGGCUGUAGUCCGGAGGGCAAGCCAGGCCCGCGGCCGCA
rnacentral:lncRNA from 1 species